ensembl:lncRNA
CACAGAUGGCUUGAGUCAGUGUAACCACAUUUCUGCUGGAGGCUUUCUCUCCACUUUUGCUCACCCAGACCUACAGGCUGAGUUGCUGCCCUGGGCCCAUGUGUGCCGGCUUGCAAGAAUGCUGAACCUUGAUGUCUGAAGCAGAAAUGUUCCGCUAUGGAAGCCUGCGGCGUGUACCACCGUUUUCCACACUGCAGCUCAGCUCGAGGAUGUCUUUGUAGGCAGUUUAAUUUUUUCCGGCUUUCUCAGCGGGAGGCUGGAGAGCACCUGCACGCUGCCCAAGGCACCGCUUUCAAGCUGAGACUCUGUCCUAGCACGGGAAGAACCGCACACCCUGUGUCGGAGCCGC